GGGUCUGUAGCUCAGUGGGAGAGCGCUUCCUUGACGCGGAAGAGGACGUAGGUUCGAUCCCUACCAGACCCA
rnacentral:tRNA from 1 species